CUCGCGAGACUUUCGUACACGUGACUUUCGUUGUUCGCUGGCCUACUCCAUAUUCUCCCGCGCUCUCGUGGAAUGUGCACGGUUUCCUUCAUUCUCCGUUAUCGCCUACCGACGCCACGUUUGCAGAUCCCGAGUACAGGGAUGAGCUUCGCUACGUGGAUAUGGCCCAAGUCUUUGUCAAGGACAUUUGGCGUUCUAUGUAAGAAGACAAAUAAGGGGAGGAGGAAGAAUAAAACGGCGAAGAAUAAGCAGGAGAAGAAGAAAGGGAGAAGGAAUGAGAAGAUGAAGAAAAGAAGACAAAGAAGAAAGGGAGGAGGGGGAGGAGGAGGAGCAUCAAAAGUUGUGCUUCAGCCAAUCACUGUGCCACUGUCAACAGGCGAGAUCAACUGACUGACGUUGCAACGAACACUUAAGAGCGAUAUAACAGCUCACCAGCUCUACAGAAACUGGCUUCUUUCUGGCGAGAUUUAUGACACGUGACAUCAUUUGUUCGCCUUGUUCGCCAGUCAGUACUCCAUUUUCUGUCGGAGUGUCUCAUGGAAUGUGCAAGGUUUCCUUCAUUCUCCGUUAUCGCCUACAAGCGCCACAAUUACAGGACAUUUGACGUUCUAUGUAAGAAGACGAAGAAGGGGAGGAGGACGAAGAGGAAGGAGAAGAAGAAGACUAAAACGAAUAAGAACAUGGAGGAGAAGGAGGAGGAAAACUGUCAGCAAGCGAGUUCAACUGACUGAAUCGUUGUAAUGAACACUUAAGAGCGAUACAACAGCUCGCCAGUUGUACAGAUCAGCAGAUCGGGUGGAGGAGCUUGGAAGACUAUAGAUAUUACAACUGUAGCAUCACUAUGUAAAAGAUGAUAGUAAAUCUCCAGAGAGAAUUCCGACAGUGAUAUCUUACGUUAUGUUAUGUUCCGAUACUUAUGUCGAGUUGAGCUGCUCUACUUGGGAUAUAAUGACAAGGUAUUGUGUAAACUCCUUUGUGGCUGUCAUCGCAACAAAUUAUCUCUACAGAUCUCGGCACAAUU